GCCACCUUAGCUCAGCUGGUAGAGCAACGGUUUUGUAAACCGUGGGUCAUCGGUUCGAAUCCGAUAGGUGGCUCCA
rnacentral:tRNA from 1 species